UAGAGAAUUCCUAGCCCUCAUAAAAUUAUAGUUCUAAGUAUUUUUUUGAUGUUGGAAAGGGGGACAGGGCAUCAAUGAUGGUAAUCAAGGGCGGGCAAACUAAGGCUUUUGGGAGCUACUUUUGGGGGUUUUUUGGCAGAGCUUUGGAAGCUAGCAGCAUGAAACAGUGGCUUGGGGAGGUGGAGUCACAAAAUGGUUGCUUGGGAAGGUGGAGUCAGUCACAAAAUGGCAGUUUGUACAAACAUUGACUUGAUUGAAAUAAGGGAUUUUAAUAUCAAAAUCCCUGAAUUCCCAGUUAAUGUUGCUGCAGGACAGGAGGGGAGCAAGAGAGUCUGCUUUUUAGGAGAAAAAACUGCCAGCCAAUCAGAUUUGCAAUAUUUUCUGGAAGGGAAGGGGAGGGAAUACAAGGCCAAAAGCCUGGAGAGCUACUUCAGAUCAGUCCAGGAGUUAUCAGUUUCUUCUGAGAGAACUUCCUGGUGAGGCCUCAUAUUACCACACUUGGCUGAAGACUAUCUGAUGACCUGGAUCACCACCAAACUGCAUACAUGCAAAUGGUUUUAAUGGUUUUGAUGAGUUUUGUGUUAAUGUUUAAGGCAGUUUUAAAGGUUUAUUGCGAAGCGUUAUUUUCACCUCAGUAAAAGCAAUCGAAUUGUUGUAUACCGCCCAGAGCCUUUGGAUGGAUAGGGCGAUAUAGAAAUGUGAGGUGGGGAGAGAGAGAGAAAGAGGAAGGAAGGAAGGAAGGAGAGAGUUGUGGCCCAAAAACAGCUGGGGGUGGGUGGGACUGACGUUGUGCAGCCCUGCAGUAAGUCAGGCAUUCCCAACCUUGGGUUGCCCCAGAUGUUGUUGGACUACAAUUUCCAUCAUCCUUAAAUAACCUUCUUGUUGCUUCUGGCCAUACAGCUGGAGACACAAACAGCAAGAAACUCUGAGGAGGCCAGUAACGCCGUGACACUUCAGGUCGAACCCUGAGACCUCUCAACCCUUUUUACCAACUAAAAAUCGCCUCAAGUCCUUUUCUUGAAGUGCAACAGUCAUUUGUGCAACUGUACACAGUGGGCUACUGGAAGGAGGGACCCUUUGCCCUUUUAGGCCCUGCCUGCCCAUUCAGAAAGGACCUAGGAAGGCUGCCUUCUCUCCCCUCCGAGUUCCAAUGCUGGAUUUUUGCACAGGAACCCAUCAGUGUUCUAAUCUCUUUAAGAUGUGGACCGACUGAUCCCCCCCCCCGUCUCCCGCUCUUGCUCUAUUACAUCCUCGUUUCUGUGGCAACAGGGAAGAGAUUUGCAUCCAAGGUUACGCUAAAGCAGGAUGGAUGGAACACAGAUUUAAAGAGAUAGCAACACCAUCCACACAGCCUAAGGCGAGGCCCAAUCCCCUCUGCAGAGUAGGGACUGUCAGAAUUAACAUGUGUGUGGUGGACUUGUGGCAAAGCACAACAAUUUGGGGGGGGAAAUUCACUCUAAGAUGCAACAAAUUUUAAAUAUUAACUUUCCUUAUUCACCUGAGCUUUUUUUUUUUGUUAAAUAUGACCAAACCUUGUAUACAUAUCAAACACACAGAGUUGUCCUUAGCUAUGAUUACUGCUGCCAGGAUUCUCUAUGCUGCGAAUUGGUGGUCACAGGCAAUCCUGACCCUGGGUGAAUGGCUACUAAAGCUAUGGGAAUAUGCCUCAAUGGCUAAGGUCACUGCUUAUUUGCGGAAUACCUCAGAUGAAAUAUUUGCGUUAACCUGGGAACCUUUCAUAAAUUGCAGUUUAGCAUAGUGUCAACAUCCACAUCCAAGAUUUAUUUAUUUUUAAUAUUGAGGGCUGAUUAGCGUUUUGUUUAUAUCUUUCUGCAAUAUCUGAUGUGAGGGGGAAGGUGGGAAAAGGGUGGAAGCAGAAUCUCGGAUUGUUAUAUGCAAUAUGUCAUAUGUAACUGCUGGAAGCUCAGGAGAUGAUAAUGUAACCAUGUUAUUUCUUUUUAUUUUCCUAUUAAAUAAAUAUAUAUAUAUUUAAAGAAUUAGCAUGAACACAUGCAAACAUACCCCAUCACAUGUGGAUGGGUGUUGAUUUGGGUGCUUCGCUAGAAAGAGAAAAGCACUCUACGAGCACCAAUUUUAGAUCUGAAAACCCUGCCCGCUCCUCUCACAUGGAAGCAGAGUCAGGGAAGUGGUGGCAGUGCAGAAUUUGGCAGCCUGGGGGCAGAUCCAGAACCCAAUGAAUGACUUGGGAGCACCCAAGGCUGAAGCAUUACUGAGAGUAAGCAGGCGGAUGAUCAAAACCUGAAUGGGAAACCACCAGGGCCAACCUGUGAGAGCAGGAUAAAAUAAAUUAAAACAUUUAUUUGAAAAAAGGAUUAGGGCGGAGCCAAGAGGAAGCGGGUGGGGGCAAAAUCAGAUAUAGGUCUUAAAUAGAUAGAUAUGUUGUAGGUAAAGGUAAAGUGUACCGUCGAGUCAGUGUCAACUCCUGGUGACCACAGAGCCCUGUGGUUGUCUUUGGUAGAAUGCAGUGGAAUAAGUUUACCAUUGCCAUCUCCUGUGCAGUAUGAGAUGAUGCCUUUCAGCAUCUUCCUGUAUCACUGCUGCCAGAUAUAGGUGUUUCCCAUAGUCUGGGAAACAUACCAGCGGGAAUUCAAGCAGGCAACCUCUGGCUUGCUAGUCAAGUCAUUUCCGCGCUGUGCUAUUAGGUGGUAGAGGCUGGCAAAACAUGGCUUAUGUUGCCCGCACCCCCCACUAUUGCUUAACUGGCAAAAUAAAGUUUUUGUAGUCGGGCAGUAGCUCAGUGAUAGAGCAUCUGUAGGCAGAAGGUCCCAGGUCCAAUCCCUGGCAUUUCCAGGCAACUCUGGUUGGGGGUGUGGGGAAGACCCCUGCCUGAAACCUUGGAGAGUUGCUGCCAGUCAGUGCAGAUAAGACUCAGCUAGAUGAACCAAUGGUCUGACUCAGUAUAAAGCAGCUUCCUAUGCCCCAGGUCAGUGAAAUACUGGCUUAUUCAAGCCCCUUCUUUAUAGCUUCUCUUAUCUGAGGGGAGAGCCCCAGGGGACAUUUCAGGUAGAAUGCAGUUAUGGGCAACUGGGAAAUGAUUCAGCAAACCUCAAAGGCCUGUUUUUGGAUCUGUUUAAACUGCAAAAAACCAGCCUCUCUUAAAAGCAUCUUGUUCUGGUCUUUUAUAGGACCCGUAAAGAGCUAUAGCAGUAUUAUCAACACAGGACAAAAAUGCCCUUUGUUUGAAAUAAAAAAGGAUUUCUGUCUCCUUUGCAUAUCUUGUACAAAGGCCCACUUAAUUGUCUGUAAUAUGAGCCACUUCAUGUAGGGAACCAAGAAUCUGACCAGAGAGAGACAUCUUAAGGAAUACAGAAAUAUGUCUGAAGGGAUACCGAAAUACAUGCGUGUGCACAUGUGUGUAUAUUAUAUGCAUGCAUAUUGCCCUUUCCCCAAAUUGUACGGCAUCCAUAUGUAAAAGAGAACAGGUAUCCUGUAUCUUUGCACAGAAGAGGGAAUUUCAGCAGGUGCAGUUUAGCUCCAUUCACAUGGAGACACCCCCUUACCACAUUUUGCAACAUGCUUCCACAUCAAAGGCACUGGGCCUGGUGCAAACACUUCAAAAGGUUUCCAGUGAGGAUGCUAAAGAGCUGAUUAGUUCAGCAUGUCAAAGAGGCAAAAAAGGCAUCCCAGAAAGAGGAUACUAAAGGGCUGAUUAACUCAGCAUGUCAAACAGUGCUGGAUUUAGGCCCAAACCAAGUAAGCUACAGCUUAGGGCCUCACAUGAUGAGAAAUCUCUGAAUCUCUGAAUAAAAAAAGAAAAGGACUUCACUUAGAAAAAAUGCUGAAUGCUGUAACUGUGAUGGCAGGCAUUUCUGGGAUUGGAAGGCUGUACAUCACAACACUGCUGUAGCUGUGAGCAAUGUGGCAAGGUGGGGUGUGUGUGUGAGUGAUGUACACCACUAGGGCGGGACUUCAAACUUUCACCAGUGUGUGCACAAAUGAUUGUAUGUAUGUAUGUAUACAUAUAUACACAUACACAGGGAACUCCGGGGUGAUUUCCUAAGGGGAGGGGUACCCACUAGCAGAGGGGAAAGUAGAGCACAUUUCUUUGACCCAGCUUCUCCAGAGCAAAUCACCUGCCCAGUCAAAAGCCACGUGCAAGAUGACACAUCUUUCCAGCAGUCAUCACUCUGAGUGGGAAAUGAGAGAAUGCCUCUUAUUUUCUUCUGUGAGGGAUGCCUGCUAGGUGAGAAGCAGCACCUUCCAGGUGAAACACGGGGAAGGGGCUGAGUAGGAAACCAUGAUGGUAGGGGAUGGACAUGGUCCACAGGCUGCCAGAUGGCCAUCUUGUCCCAAUGUGCUCUGUUUUGACAGGGAGAGGCACCUAGGCACUAAACAUGGAUCAGUGGCUUUCUUGACACACAAGAUGUAGAAUGCCUUGGGCCCUCUGUAUUCUUUUCAUCACCCGAGGAAAGAUUUAGGCCUUUGAGAUGCUUGUUUUGAUGUAAAGCUUUUGUACUUUGUGUUUUGCUGGUCGAAUGACCGUCACAAUAAAGAUUUGAUUUGUUUUGAA